UACGUAGGGUGCGAGCGUUAAUCGGAAUUACUGGGCGUAAAGCGUGCGCAGGCGGUUUUGUAAGCCAGAUGUGAAAAUCCCCCGGGCUUAACCUGGGAAUGGCAUUUGGGACUGCAAGGCUGGAGUACGGUAGAGGGGGAUGGAAUUCCGCGUGUAGCAGUGAAAUGCGUAGAUAUGCGGAGGAACACCGAUGGCGAAGGCAAUCCCCUGGACCUGUACUGACGCUCAUGCACGAAAGCGUGGGGAGCAAACAGG
rnacentral:rRNA from 1 species